GCCUCGAUGGUGUAGUGGUAGUAGCACGCGUCCCCGGUAUGGAUAAAACCCGGGUUUGAAUCCCGCUUGAAGCC